rnacentral:rRNA from 1 species
GAUGAACGCUAGCGGCAGGCUUAACACAUGCAAGUCGAGGGGUAUAGGGAGCUUGCUUCCUAGAGACCGGCGCACGGGUGCGUAACGCGUAUUGCAAUCUACCUUUUGCAGAGGGAUAGCCCAGAGAAAUUUGGAUUAAUACCUCAUAGUAUAGUACUUUGGCAUCAAGGAACUAUUAAAGUCACAACGGCAAAAGAUGAGCAUGCGUCCCAUUAGCUAGUUGGUAAGGUAACGGCUUACCAAGGCUACGAUGGGUAGGGUCCUGAGAGGGAGAUCCCCCACACUGGUACUGAGACACGGACCAGACUCCUACGGGAGGCAGCAGUGGGAAUAUUGGACAAUGGGCGAAAGCCUGAUCCAGCAAUGCCGCGUGAGUGAUGAAGGCCUUAGGGUGUAAAGCUCUUUUACCCGGGAUGAUAAUGACAGUACCGGGAGAAUAAGCUCCGGCUAAACUCCGUGCCAGCAGCCGCGGU